GACGAACGCUGGGGCGUGCUAAUACAUGAAGUAGACGCUGAGGGAGGAGUUGCUCUUCUUGGUGAGUGCGAACGGGUGAGUGCGCGUAGGUAUCUGCCUUGUGCGGGGGUAACUAUUGGAACGAUAGCUAAUACCGCAUAACAUGGAUGAACAUGUCAUUUAUUUGAAGGGGCAUUGCUCCACUACAAGAUGGACCUGCGUUGUAUUGGCUGGUAGGGAGGUAACGGCUCACCUAGGCGACGAUACAUAGCCGACCUGAGAGGGGAUCGGCCACACUGGAUUGAGACACGGCCCAGACUCCUACGGAGGCAGCAGUAGGGAUCUUCGGAAGGGGGCAAUCUGACCGAGAACGCGCGUGAGUAAGAGGUUUUCGGAUCGAAAGCUUUUUGUAGUCAAGACGAGGUAGAGUGGAAGUUCACACUGUGACGGUAGCUUACCAAAAGGGAGGCUAACUCCGGGCAGAGCGCGGUAAUACGGGGGUACGAGCGUUAAUCGGAUAACUGGGCGUAAAGGGCCGAGGCGUGACUUAAGUGAGUGUGAAAGCCCCGGCUUACCUGGGAUUGCAUUUCAUACUGGGUGCUAGAGUAUUUAGGAGGGUAGAUUCUACGUGUGCGGUGAAUGCGUAAGAGGUGGGAAAUCCCGAGGCGAGGCAGCUUUUGGGAUGACUGACGCUCAUGUGCGAAAGGGGGGAGCAAAAAG
rnacentral:rRNA from 1 species